rnacentral:rRNA from 1 species
UAGGGAAUCUUCGGCAAUGGACGAAAGUCUGACCGAGCAACGCCGCGUGAGUGAAGAAGGUUUUCGGAUCGUAAAACUCUGUUGUUAGAGAAGAACAAGGACGUUAGUAACUGAACGUCCCCUGACGGUAUCUAACCAGAAAGCCACGGCUAACUACGUGCCAGCAGCCGCGGUAAUACGUAGGUGGCAAGCGUUGUCCGGAUUUAUUGGGCGUAAAGCGAGCGCAGGCGGUUUCUUAAGUCUGAGGUGAAAGCCCCCGGCUCAACCGGGGAGGGUCAUUGGAAACUGGGAGACUUGAGUGCAGAAGAGGAGAGUGGGAUUCCAUGUGUAGCGGUGAAAUGCGUAGAUAUAUGGAGGAACACCAGUGGCGAAGGCGGCUCUCUGGUCUGUAACUGACGCUGAGGCUCGAAAGCGUGGGGAGCAAACAGG